UGAACACUUCGCCUCAGGAAGGAAAUCGAUCUCCUGCCAAGUUCAGGAGAGAGCGAGAAGAGCAAGAGAGAUAGGGAGGAAGAGAGGGAAACACAUCCCCACACCUGCAGCUCUUCCCAGAAUGGUACAUUAAAAGCUGUGCUUGGCAUCUUCACACACUGGGAGCUCCAAAUGGGAAAAAGAGAUAGUGUUUGCAGGUUUGGUUUGUCACACCAUUGGUUAAUCCACUCCAGCUGAGGAGAAAUACAAUGUGGCAGAAUGACCAAACCUCACUGGGCUUAACUGUAUUUCCCAUCCUCCCGCCACUUAAAAAAAACUUGGAUUCUUGUGACAGGGUUUCUGUGAACUAGAUCUUGCUUGUUCAACUGAAUAACCUCUAGCAAUAAACAGCC